GGCUUUAUCAUGUGUACAUAUGAGGUAAAAGCAAAGGUCAAAAUCUAGAACGUUUUAAUUAGCAUAUGACCUUGAGCUCAAUUUCAAGGUUAUAAACCAAGGACUUCAAAUCAAAAGACUCUAGUCCUCUACUUUAUAUUGUUAAUGAGUUAUAUUACCAUACGUAUGAUAUUAGAUAUAAAAAUGGGGAAAACUCGCGUCAAAUGUCUGCAUAUCCUUUCGACUAAAAUUUAUGUGUUACGACAUGUCGUAACUAACAAUUGUGUGAAAAUAUUUUGUCGAUAUCUUGUAUGAUUACUGAAAAUAAGAGAUAACAAGCCAAAAUCAAAAUUUUAAUCAUGACCUUGACCUUUGACCUUGACCUCAUUUUCAUUUUUUUGGACCAAGGACCUCAAAUCAAAAGACCCUAGGCCUCUACCACUUAUGGUUUUCCAGUUAAAAAUGCAUAUCACUUAUAUCAAAUAUAAAAGGGGAAAUAACUCUCAUAUGGAGUCUCCGGAUAGCUUCGGUCAAAAUGAAUCAAAUCAUCCUGAGGAUAUAACAAGCAAUUUAGUAAAACAAAUUUGUCGGUUUCUUAUACGGUUGCGAAGAUUAAUCGAUAACAAGAAAAACAGUGUUCGGGGAGAUAACUCUUACAUGGAUAAGAUUUUGGUUACGCAGUGUCAGUUUCAAAAGCGUAUUAAUUGUUCGAUAUCAUAUACCAUAUAUCUAAGCGACAUCUUGCGAAACAAAAAAAUUGCGAGGGAACAAAAAGUUGGCGGAAGAAAAAAAAAAAUAAUAAUAAUAAUAAUAAUCAGAAGAAAAC
rnacentral:lncRNA from 1 species